rnacentral:rRNA from 1 species
AGCAGCCGCGGUAAUUCCAGCUCCAAUAGCGUAUAUUAAAGUUGUUGCAGUUAAAAAGCUCGUAGUUGAAUUUCGGGGUCAGUAGGUUGGUCGUGCCACUGGUAUGUACUGGCCUCACUGAUUCCUCCUUCUUGUAGAACCGUAAUGCCAUUAAUUUGGUGUUGCGGGGAAACAGGACUGUUACUUUGAAAAAAUUAGAGUGUUUAAAGCAGGCUAACGCUUGAAUACAUUAGCAUGGGAUAAUGAAAUAGGACGUUCGAUCCUAUUUUGUUGGUUUCUAGGAUUGACGUAAUGAUUAAUAGGGAUAGUUGGGGGCAUUAGUAUUCAAUUGUCAGAGGUGAAAUUCUUGGAUUUAUUGAAGACUAACUACUGCGAAAGCAUUUGCCAAGGAUGUUUUCAUUAAUCAAGAACGAAAGUUAGGGGAUCGAGGACGAUCAGAUACCGUCGUAGUCUUAACCAUAAACUAUGCCGACUAGGGAUCGGAUGAUGUUAAUUUUUAAUGACUCAUUCGGCGCCUUAC